rnacentral:rRNA from 1 species
GUCUUUGGCCGUCCGAGUUGUAGUUUAGAGAGGUGUUUUCCGCGUCGGACCACACACAAGUCCUUUGGAAUAAGGCUUCAUAGAGGGUGAGAAUCCCGUACAUGGUGUGGACUACCGGGGCUAUGUGAUGCACCCUCAAAGAGUCGAGUUGUUUGGGAAUGCAGCUCAAAAUGGGUGGUAAAUUCCAUCUAAAGCUAAAUAUUGGGGAGAGACCGAUAGCGCACAAGUACCGUGAGGGAAAGAUGAAAAGCACUUUGGAAAGAGAGUUAAACAGUACGUGAAAUUGCUGAAAGGGAAACGCUUGAAGUCAGUCGCGUCUGCACAGACUCAGCCGGGGUUCUCCAUGGUGUACUUCUGAGUA